rnacentral:rRNA from 1 species
AACGAACGCUGGCGGCAGGCCUCAAACAUGCAAGUCGAGGGGGCGUAGCAAUACGUCACCGGAGGACGGGUUCGUAACACGUGGGAAUGUACCUAGUGGUUCGGAACAACGCUUGGAAACGAGUGCUAAUACCGGAUGUGCCCGAAAGGGGAAAGAUUUAUCGGCACUAGAGCAGCCCGCGCAGGCUUAGCUAGUUGGUAGGGUAAGGGCCUACCAAGGCUCCGAUCCUUAGCUGUUCCGAGAGGAAGAUCAGCCACACGGGGACUGGGACACGGCCCAGACUCCUACGGGAGGCAGCAGUUGGAAAUCUUGGACAAUGGGCGAAAGCCUGAUCCAGCCAUGCCGAGUGAGUGAUGAAGGCCUUAGGGUUGUAAAGCUCUUUUACCCGGGAAGAUAAUGACGGUACCGGGAGAAUAAGCUCCGGCUAACUUCGUGCCAGCAGCCGCCGUAA